AAAACAUCCUAAAAUAUAUAAAGUAAUUCAAAGGGGUUAUUAAGGAAAACUAAGGCAAAUUUAUAAAAAAAGGAGGUCUAAUACCAAAAGCUUACUAACAAUAAAGUAUUAAGUAAGCGCUCCUAAGGUAAACCUUAUUAAUCAAUUACUUCCUGAAGUAAAACAUUUUAUUAGGGAAAGGAAAGGAAAUCAACCGAGACUCCGAAAGUAAUGGUGAGUGAAAUCGGAUUAGCCUAAUUAAUUAAUAAAUUGAAAAACUUAAGUAUUUAGCAACGAAGGAAGAACUCUCCUCCUCUCCUAAGGCCGAAGGCCUUCGGCCUUCGGCCUUCGGAGAGGAGGAUAAUUACUACCUACACCUCCCUUCUAGGAUUACCUACCUCUACUAGUACUAGUUAAGAAUCCGAAGGUUCUAGAAGCGAAGAACUGGAAGGAAGGGGGUCCUACGGAGGGGUGGAUGCAAAAAUAUAUUAGUUAGUAAUACUUUACUUUAAAGUAGUGUAUAACAUUCUUCGAAGACGAAGUGUUACUCUAAAGAAGGUGAAAAACUAUAAGACCUGUAGGUUUAUUAAUUAAUAUUAGAAUAAAGUACGAUGAGAGAAAACUUGUCGGAAUAUAGGGGUACCAUCCUCUAAGGCUAAGUAUUAUAAAUUUAGCGAUAGUGAAUAAGUACUGUAAAGGAAAAGUUUGAAAAGCGAGUGGUAUACAAAAAUGAAUUUUUAAAAUAUCCCUACCCUUUGCAACUCCUACCCUAGGGUUCAUCACUGAACCUUAGGAGUACUCCUCCUCCUCCCCCCCUGCCUUUGCCCAUUUACGCCACAGGCGGGGCAAGGGUAGGAAGGCAGGACUCCUUCCCUGCGGCGAGUACUACUCCUCGCCCCCCUGCCUUUGCAGGGGCAAAGGGAAGGGCAGGCAGGACUACGUAGAGGAGGGCAAAGGAUUCCUUCCUAGGGGGUUCCUACCCUAGGCGAGGGCAGGGGGAACAUUUAAGAAUGAAUAGGUGAAAUAGAUCUUGAAUUAGUAACUCUAUAAGCAGUCGAAAUUCUACUUAGAAAAAGAAUCAUGAAUGACGGCGUACCUUUUGCAUAAUGGGUCAGCAAGUUAAUAGGAGUAGCAAGGUUUAAAGCCCUAGCGAAAGCGACUGGACUAUAAUUUAAAAAUACAAAAAAAAAUUUUUGUAUUAUAAGUACACAUAGUGAUGGGUCAGUUACUUCUAUUAGACCCGAAGCCAGGUGAUCUUACCAAGACCAGAUUAUAAUGGAUCGAACGGGUGAAUGUUGCAUAAUUCUCCGAUGAGUUUUGGUAAGCGGUGAAAUGCCAAUCUGACCUGGUGCUAGCUGGUUUUCUACCGAAACAUAUUUAAGUAUGACGUCUACACAAAAUUUAUGGAGGUACAGCAAGGCAAUUCCCAACAAGUUUAAGGGUUGUGUACGAAGUGCUCUUCUCUCCGUAGGACGCCGAAGGGCGACCGUAGGCUUUUUUAAUCCUACCCCCAAGGGUAGGAUAGGAAGUACUGCUCCUCCCUAGGAAGGACUACUCCUCCCUGGGAAGGCUACGCAGAGGGGGGAAGAAGUUUUUAACACAUCAGCCUUUUAGGCGUUUAGGUUGCGGGGACCUCGAAAAUCUUACCUUUGGAAGCGAAUCUCGGAAUUACAUAAAUUGAUGGUAGAUAUUCAGACUACUCAUGCUAAGUUGGGUAGUCAAGACGGAAACAGCCGAGAACACUGAUCAAGGUCCCAAAUGAUUGUUAAGUGAAAUUAAGGACGUAGCAAUAUCGUAUACAGCUGUGAAGUGAGCCUGGCAGUCGCUACUUUUAAUGAUCGUAUGUAACAACGCAUCAGCAGUUUAGAUAGUAGCGCCGAAAAUUUAACGGGUCUUAAACAAUCAACCGAUAUCGUGUUGGUUUAUAUUAUGAAUGACUUCGUACUUAAAAAAAAGGAAGGGGUAUAAUUAUUUAUAUACAUUUCUAAUACUAAAUCUAGGUAGUAGAACAUUCAGUCAAACCCAUUAUAAAAUAGUGUUUCAUUAUUUUUUAGGUUACUGAAGAGAGAAUGCUGACAUGAGUAACGUAAAAAGAAGUUAUAAUACUUCUCGCCGAAUACGAAAGGGUUGCAAAUAGGAAAGGUUAAUCCGUUUUGUUUGAAUGCGGCCUCUAAGGACCAAAACCAAAGUUUUGGCUGAUGAGUAUAUAAUAGAAAGUCCAUUUUCGCGGACGAGAGUACACAUUGUCUCCGCGGAUUGGCACCUCGAUGUCGACUCAUCCUAUCCUCCGGGGGAAGAAGCUUGGAAGGGUUCGGCUGUUCGCCGAUUAAAAGGGUACGUGAGUUGGGUUUAAUACGACGUGAAUUACAAAAUUUUAAUUAAACCCAAGUUCCACCCUUACCACCCUUUGCCCCUGCAAAGGCAGGGGGGAGAAGGUACAAUUUAAAACUAAACUUAAGAAUGACAAAAAACUAACCACUAUGACAAUAACAAAAUUUAUAAAAAAUCAUAAUGAUUUUGAAAUUAAGGACUUUGUAGCUCCUAUUUCAAGAUUUAUUAAAUUUCCUAUUAUGUUAGAUAAAUUAUUAGAUAGAAUUGGCAAAUUAGCUUAUCAAUACAAUAUCCCAUUAGACGUAAAUUUGUUUGCAGAAAGAAUGAACCCUGAAGGAAUUAAAAAAGCUAAACAUGAUCUUAGAGGAAAAGGAGGUAUUUAUAUUUGGUACUGCCAUAAAACAGGAUACUUCUAUUUAGGCUCAGCUCAAGUAUUUUUCGGUAGAAAUGCUAGACUAAGUACUUACCUAAUGCCUUCUAGAUUAUUAAAUACUCAUAAAAAUAUUAGUAAGGACCUAGCUAAAGACCUACUUAAGUAUGGUUAUGAGGAAUUCUCAUUAAUUAUUGUUGAACAAUUUAAUGUAGGAAUGAAUAUAGAAAUGCUUUUAUAUCAAGAACAACUUUGGAUGAUGCUUUACCCUACUUACAAUAGAAGUCUAAAAGUAGGUUCUAACGAAGGUUUACCUAUGCCUGAAGCCAUUAGACAACAAAUGAGUACCUUAAUAUUUUCAUAUGAAGUAGUAGAUGGGAAAAUUUUACCAGGUUCAGAAAGAGAACAUUUUGGUAUUAAAAAACUUGCUAGGGACGGGAUUUCAAGUAUGGAACAACCUAACGUAAUUAUACCUAUAAGUAAUUUUGAACUAUCUCCUUUACUUAAAACAGGUUCACUUUAUAAAGAUAGAUUUCUUUUUACAAGUGAUAGAUUAGUUGGAGAAAAACUUAUUAAUUGAAAAACUCCGGUAGCAGUCUCAAAACAAAAUGGACAUACUAAAGGAAAUGAUCAAAGAAGCAAUGGUAUAUAUGUCUACAAAUAUUUGGGACCUAAUGAUAAUUACACUCCUACGGCAGCAAAUUUUGUAGAAUUUAUUCCUUCAGUUAAAGCGUGUAAGGAUAAAUACCAAAUUAGUAAAAGUCACUUUCAAAGAUUAAGAAGAUAUAAUGUGCCUCAUAAGGGAUAUUUAUUCAGUAACUACAAGCUACAUAGCUAAUAUUUGUUAAAAAUAUAUUUAUUUAACUAACCCCUCCCCUACCCCCCCCCCUCCCCCUGGCAAGGGCCGCCUUCUUCCUGCCUUCCCUACGGCGAGGAGAGGGCAAUUGGGGAAGCGGUGGACACAGGGAUUAAUAAAGAAGAAACACCAUCACUCGCGUCGUAAGGAAACUGUAUGCUGGAAAUUCCUUAGAGCUUUAAGUACUAGCCCUCUGUAGGCGCCCCCUAAAGGGGGACUUAUUUAAAUUGAGCUAGUGAAAAUCUUAAAGAUUGGACAAUCAGCAGGAAACCAAAUUGUGUAAAGCAAGAGUAGGAUCCUCAGAGACUAUACGUUUCCACUUCUUGAAGCCUAAAAAGUUUUUUUUUCGGGCCUUCGGGGAGUAAGAUAUAGUCCAAACUAUUCAGAAAUGAGUAGAGUAGCAUUAACUCCUUCCUUUUUUCCUUAUGCAUACAAAAGGCAGGGAGAGGGAAUUAAGCUACAGAAUAAGGAGUCAGUAUGGUCCCUAUCUUCUGGAGGGAUAAUUAGUAAAAAGGGGCAGACCUUCUAGUACGAAAGGAUCAAUAGGCUGUGUUUCUCUAGUGUACCAAUUGUUGGUACUAUUUUGUUUAAGACCCCUAUAUCUCCUUCCCUUUAGGAAUCAAGGAGGAUGGAAAGAUAAGUGGGUAAAAUCCUUUUGAACUUAAAUACCUUUAAGGUUAAGAUAAAAGGUCACAAAAUGGGAACGCAUAGUUGGGUAGCCACAAACAUAAUAGAUAAGUGCUGAAUGUCUAUAAAGCAAGAAUCUAACCCCUAGAUACUUUAAAUAUGAUUAAAGAUCAUUAAUUAAGAAAUAGAACAUUUCUAGAUAGGCUGCAAAUAUAACAUAUUGUAAAAUAUUUAGUUUAGCAGUACUAAUUUAUAAAAAAACUAGGUGCCAG
rnacentral:rRNA from 1 species